rnacentral:rRNA from 1 species
ACAAUGACGGUACCUGAGGAAUCAGCAUCGGCUAACUCCGUGCCAGCAGCCGCGGUAAUACGUGAGGAUGCAAGCGUUAUCCGGAAUGAUUGGGCGUAAAGCGUCCGCAGGUGGCUUAUGUAAGUCUGCUGUUAAAGAUUGAGGCUCAACCUCAUAACAGCAGUGGAAACUACAUAACUAGAGUGCGUUCGGGGCAGAUGGAAUUCCCGGUGUAGCGGUGAAAUGCGUAGAUAUCAGGAAGAACACCGGUGGCGAAAGCGCUCUGCUAGGCCGCAACUGACACUGAAGGACGAAAGCUAGGGGAGCGAAAGGGAUUAGAU